rnacentral:rRNA from 1 species
AUACGUAGCCGACCUGAGAGGGUGAUCGGCCACACUGGAACUGAGACACGGUCCAGACUCCUACGGGAGGCAGCAGUAGGGAAUCUUCCGCAAUGGGCGAAAGCCUGACGGAGCAACGCCGCGUGAGUGAUGAAGGGUUUCGGCUCGUAAAACUCUGUUAUUAGGGAAGAACAAAUGUGUAAGUAACUGUGCACAUCUUGACGGUACCUAAUCAGAAAGCCACGGCUAACUACGUGCCAGCAGCCGCGGUAAUACGUAGGUGGCAAGCGUUAUCCGGAAUUAUUGGGCGUAAAGCGCGCGUAGGCGGUUUCUUAAGUCUGAUGUGAAAGCCCACGGCUCAACCGUGGAGGGUCAUUGGAAACUGGGAAACUUGAGUGCAGAAGAGGAAAGUGGAAUUCCAUGUGUAGCGGUGAAAUGCGCAGAGAUAUGGAGGAACACCAGUGGCGAAGGCGACUUUCUGGUCUGUAACUGACGCUGAUGUGCGAAAGCGUGGGGAUCAA